AUGUUUGUGAGUGCGUAUAUGUGUGUGUGUGUGUGUGUGUCUUAUGUGUGAGAGUGCGUCUGUCCUGCUUGUCACGUUUCCUUCCGCAUAUAUGUGUAUCUGUCUAGUUUUGUCUAUAUGUUGGUUUCUAUAUGAUUUGUUUGGUUGUCUACGUUUCUGAAUGUGUACAGGUUUGUGUGUGUAUAUUCUGUGUAUAAAUCGUAGCUGUGUAUGCAUAUGUGUCUAUGUUUGCGUGUCUGUCUGCGCAUUUAUCGGUUUGAGACUCUGCACGCCUGUGUGUUUGUGUGCAUGUUUGUCCAUCUAUCUGAAUUUCUCCAUGGCCUCUCUGUUUGUCUGUCAGAGCAUAUGUGUGCUUCUCUGCCCGUGUGUUCAGACACUAGCGAGCCGUCUGAAUGCUGGCUAGCUCUGCAUAGUACCAGGGGACGGACACAAAGAAGCGGAAGGGAGGGCGGGACCUGGUACCGGCUCACGUUUAUUCAAGGCAAACGCGCCUCCGCUGAAGAUAUAUGCUGGGCUGAACCAUUUCAUCCAGGCUGUAGGGGGACACGGACGCCUUUCUCUACAGUGACGUACAAGCCUUGGAAAGCGUGGGGUCAGAUGGCCUUGGCGAAGGGUCUGAAGCCAAUCCUGCGGACCACGGUUUUCGAGGUUUUGGGGAUGUGCCUUAAUUAACUCAGAUAGCGACACAGCGCCCUGGUUCAUGCUCUAAAAUUAAGCUAAAAAGAAAAGAUUUACUUCAAAUAAUAUGGAUUUAUUAUUCAAUCUCUCCUGUUGUACUCUACUCAUAUGUGACUAAUUUCACUCGAAUUGCAUUUUCUAGCUCGCUUGUUUGUCACAUGCCUGUUUAGACUUUUGAGUAAAGUUUAUUACAAAAGAAUUGACUGCAAAACAGGACGGUCCUCUUUCUUGCGAUAAUUGAGAAAUGUUCUGUAGAACUAUUUAAGGCCUUUCCAGUGCGUGAAAUCUGAAGGUUUAUUAUCAUUGUUGUCGUUGUUAAAAUAAAAUUCUCUGACAGAUCGAAAAAGUUCAAAUGUUGCCAUCGAGUAUUUAAUAUAUCGGAUUACACAAGAAUUCGGCUGAUCUGAACAACUGACUUUCAGACUUUACGGCAACGUACGGAUGAGGGUUUGCACGACUUUUAUCUUAAUGUAUUUGUGCUUAUGCUUAUUGAAAUUCUUGGUCUGUAGACGACGCCAUUGCCAAAAGCUUCUAAGUAACAUUGCAAACGAAUACAUUAUGAUAUGAGUUCCGUCGUAACCUGUUAUGAAAAUGAACGAUUUAUGUGAUUUCCAUAUUUCAUUGGCCUAAAUAAAGACCACACCUUUUAAAUGGCCAAACUAAGAUCAUCAGGUAAUGAAAUGUACAAAAUCACUGAACGUUCCAUUUAUUUUCAUCAGAAAUGUUUGUUUCUUCCUAGAAAGACGUACUUUGUGUUUCAGGCAUGUUUUCCGUGAUAGUUCAGUCCAUAAACAACUCUAACAGGAUAACCAGGGGGAGUAUGGCGCGCACAUUCGCACUGAUAAGACAAUGACGUAAGGGAGCUGAAGACGGGCUGUGAUCAGAUCACACGUCGAGGGCUGAAGUUAUCAGGGGUGGACUGACAACAAAAAGCAGCCCAGAAUUUUCUGUGAAGCGGCCCGAUUUCAUGUUGGACACCCUCAUGUUCCCAGAAAACAUGGACUGUCUGCUGUGGGAAACACUGCUGUAUGCUGCAUAGGAUAUAGCUGGCAAACCCAGAGACCACGGCCAGGAUACAUGAAUGACAAGGAAUGAUUGAACUGUUUCUUGUACGGAUUGUCAUCGUGUACGGCUCCGGAAAUUUUUCAGAGGCCACACCAUAUGUUUUUAAAACUGCAUUUAUAUUUCUAUGGCAACCAUACCAAGUGCAGAAUAGUAAUUACUGCUAUGGACUUUAUCUUAUUUUAAUAGGACCAAAUGGACAUCAUGAAAACAUAACCAAUAGUACAUUAUGCUACAACCACUAACCUUGCCAAACAUUAAACAUUUUUUAAAGUUUGACUAAACAGAAGAGGAUUGCUACCCUAGUUGUUCUGGCAGAAGAUAUCCAAGAACAAGGGGAAGCAGGAGACAAUCAAAAACCAGUCAAGCAAAGGGCAGAAGUGCCUUUAUAAUGUUAGGGAGGACCACCAACUCAUCCGGCAGCGCCUCAUGAAUCGAAGGAUUCACAUCAAGUGACCUUCAAAGAGAUUGGGAAACUUUAAGUGGUGUGAAGCGCACAGUGAGGAUGAUUUGAAAUAGGCUCCUAGAACCACAAAGCAAGUCCCACAAAGCAAGGCAGAAGUCCUUCAUCAAUGAGAAGCAGACAGGAGCCAUGCUGGAGCUUGCAGAAGACCAUUUUCUCUCAUGAGUUUCAGCUCUGCCCAACGCCUAAAUUUCUGAUGAUUAGACAAAGACUUGGAGAAGCUACAAGCCCCGGUGUAUGGCGUCUACUGUAAAAAUUGGGUGGAGUGUUGCUGAUGAUCUAGAGGAGCUUCAGCGAGGCUGGGAUUGAACAGGUUUGUCUCUGUGAAGGACAUAUGAUUCAAGCAAUAUUUAAGGUUAUCUUGAAAAAAUACUUGCUUACAUCUGCUCAGACCAUGUUCCCCAGCAGGGUUUUCCAGCAGGACAAUGCUCCACGCCAAAUAUGCUGGUCAGAGGUGGACAGUUCAGGUCCAGAAAGGAGAAAUCCAGACCAAGAUUCUGUUUCAACUUUUUUCAGUUUGCAUC